rnacentral:tRNA from 1 species
AAGUAAUUAGUUUAAGUAAAACCUUUGAUUUCGGCUCAAAAACUUUUGGCUAAAGUCCUUAAUUACUUA